AUGCAAGAGCGCAAAGUGGUUGCUUAUGCCUCUCGGCAAUUGCGCCCUCACGAAGAGAACUACCCAGUUCACGACCUCGAACUUGCUGCUGUCAUUCAUGCGCUAAAACAGUGGCGACAUUACCUACUCGGUAAUCGUUGCGAGAUCUUCACUGACCACCAAAGUCUGAAGUAUCUGUUUACUCAGCCAGACCUGAACCUCCGUCAGCAGAGAUGGAUGGAGACUGUUGCAGACUUUGAUUUGGGUAUUUCCUAUACCCCAGGCAAGGCUAAUGUAAUGGCUGAUGCCUUGAGCCGCAAGUCUUACUGCAACCACCUCCAGGUUCACAAAGUUCAGCCCUCACUUGUUGAAGAAUUCAGAAAGCUAAACCUCCAUAUUGUUCCUCCGGGUGCACUCGCUCCCCCUCCUCCGGAGUUCCGCAAGAUGAAUCUCCGUGUUGUUUCCCAGGGUUCCCUCUAUACCCUGGCUGUUGAACCCGAUCUCGUGGGCACCAUAAAGACAAUGCAGGGAUUUGACUCUAAAGUCUACAAGAUUAAGCAAGACCUCAAAGAAGGAAGUCCCUCAUCCUUCACUAUUGCUGAUGAUGGCGCCUUGUACUUCAAAGGCCGCCUAGUGGUGCCGUGUAAGAAGGAAAACCUGAAUAUGACUCAGGAGGUUAUGAAAGAAGCUCAUGAUACGCCUCUAUGUAUCCACCCUGGUAGUACAAAGAUGUACCAAGACAUCCGCCAGAGAUUCUGGUGGUCUAACAUGAAGCAAGACAUUGCUCGUUAUGUUGCUGAAUGUGACGUUUGCCGUCGUAUCAAAGCAGAACAUCAAAGGCCUGCUGGAACUCUGCAACCUAUAUCUAUUCCUGAAUGGAAAUGGGACCAUGUCGAGAUGGACUUCGUUACUGGAUUUCCCAAAUUGCAAAAGGGUAAUGAUGCUAUUCUUGUCGUCAUUGACCGACUUUCUAAGGUUGCACAUUUUCUGGCGGUCAAAGAAACGAUCACUGCUAGUCAGCUUGCAACUCUCUACAUGUCCAGAAUUGUUUCGCUUCACGGUAUUCCACUGGUUAUCAGUUCAGACCGUGGCAGUUUAUUCACUUCAAGAUUCUGGGCAAGUUUCCAAGAAGCUAUGGGCACUCAUCUGUCUUUCAGCACUGCGUUUCAUCCGCAGUCACAAGGGCAAGUUGAACGUGUCAACCAAGUUCUCGAAGACAUGCUUCGAGCUUGUGUUAUUUCCUUCGGCAAGAAAUGGGAGGAAUCUCUCCCGUAUGCUGAGUUCUCUUAUAAUAAUAGCUAUCAAGCUAGUCUGAAGAUGGCCCCCUUCAAAGUGUUAUAUGGACAAAAGUGCCGAACCCCUCUGAACUGGUCAGAAACUGGGGAACGUCCACUCUUCGGUCCGGAUAUUAUCCAACAUGCCGAAGAGCAAGUCCGCAUUAUUCGCGAGAAUCUCAAGACUGCUCAGUCACGCCAAAAGAGUAAUUAUGACCGUCAUCAUAAAGACAUGGUCUAUCAACCUGGCGAAAAGGCCUAUCUUCGAGUUACACCAAUGAAGGGUGCUCACCGCUUCGGGAUCAAGGGCAAGCUAGCUCCUCGCUAUAUUGUCCCAUUCACUAUUCUCGAGAGGCGUGGAAAGGUGGCAUAUCAACUGGAGCUUCCGCCGAACCUUUCUCAGGUUCACGAUGUGUUCCAUGUAUCACAGCUCCGCCGUUGCUUCAAGGACCCGAUCCGAGGAGUGGAUCAUGAAGUGCUCGAAUUGCAACAGGACCUCUUCUAUAAAGAGCAUCCGGUCCGCAUUCUCGACCAAGCUGAACGCCGCACACGCCAGAAGGCGAUCAAGUUCCUCAAAGUUCAGUGGUCGCACCAUUCUGAAGAUGAAGCCACUUGGGAACGUGAGGAUCGCCUGCGUGAUGAAUACCCCGCACUGUUUCCUUCUACCUCCUAA
rnacentral:rRNA from 1 species